rnacentral:rRNA from 1 species
GAUGAACGCUGGCGGCGUGCCUAAUACAUGCAAGUCGAGCGAACAGAUAAGGAGCUUGCUCCUUUGACGUUAGCGGGCGGACGGGUGAGUAACACGUGGAUAACCUACCUAUAAGACUGGGAUAACUUCGGGAAACCGGAGCUAAUACCGGAUAACAUAUUGAACCGCAUGGUUCAAUAGUGAAAGGGCGGCUUUGCUGUCACUUAUAGAUGGAUCCGCGCCGUAUUAGCAGUUGGUAAGGUGACGGCUUACCAAGGCAACGAUACGUAGCCGACCUGAGAAGGUGAUCGGCCACACUGGGAACUGAGACACGGUCCAGACUCCUACGGAGGCAGCAGUAGGGAAUCUUCCGGCAACUGGGCGAAAGCCUGACGGAGCAACGCCGCGUGAGUGAUGAAGGUCUUCGGAUCGUAAAACUCUGUUAUCAGGGAAGAACAAAUGUGUAAGUAACUGUGCACAUCUUGACGGUACCUGAUC